rnacentral:lncRNA from 1 species
AUGGAGGUUCGUGACAUUGUACAGGAGACAGGGAUCAAGACCAUCCCCAUGGAAAAGAAAGGCAAAAAAGCAAAAUGGCUGUCUGGGGAGGCCUUACAAAUAGCUGUGAAAAGGAGAGAGACAAAAAGCAAAGGAGAAAAGGAAAGAUAUAAGCAUCUGAAUGCAGAGUUCCAAAGAAUAGCAAGAAGAGAUAAGAAAGCCUUCCUCAAUGAUCAAUGCAAAGAAAUAGAGGAAAACAACACAAUGGGAAAAACUAGAGAUCUCUUCAAGAAAAUUAGAGAUACCAAGGGAACAUUUCAUGCAAAGAUGGGCUCAAUAAAGGACAGAAAUGGUCUGGACCUAACAGAAGCAGAAGAUAUUAAGAAGAGGUGGCAAGAAUACACGGAAGAACUGUACAAAAAAGAUCUUCAUGACCCAGAUAAUCACGAUGGUGUGAUCACUCAUCUAGAGCCAGACAUCUUUGAAUGUGAAGUCAAGUGGGCCUUAGAAAGCAUCACUACGAACAAAGCUAGUGGAGGUGAUGGAAUUCCAUUUGAACUAUUUCAAAUCCUGAAAGAUGAUGCUGUGAAAGUGCUGCACUCAAUAUGCCAGCAAGUUUGGAAAACUCAGCAGUGGCCACAGGACUGGAAAAGGUCAGUUUUCAUUCCAAUCCCAAAGAAAGGUAAUGCCAAAGAAUGUUCAAACUACUGCACAAUUGCACUCAUCUCACAUGCUAGUAAAGGAAUGCUCAAAAUUCUCCAAGCCAGGCUUCAGCAAUAUGUGAACCAUGAACUUCCUGAUGUUCAAGCUGGUUUUAGAAAAGGCAGAGGAACCAGAGAUCAAAUUGCCAACAUCCACUGGAUCAUGGAAAAAGCAAAAGAGUUCCAGAAAAACAUCUACUUCUGCUUUAUUGACUAUGACAAAGCCUUUGACUGUGUGGAUCACAAUAAACUGUGGAAAAUUCUGAGAGAGAUGGGAAUACCAGACCACCUGACCUGCCUCUUGAGAAACCUAUAUAUAGGUCAGGAAGCAGCAGUUAGAACUGAACAUGGAACAACAGACUGGUUCCAAGUCAGGAAAGGAGUACGUCAAGGCUGUAUCUUGUCACCCUGCUUAUUUAACUUCUAUGCAAAGUACAUCAUGAGAAACGCUGGGCUGGAAGAAGCACAAGCUGGAAUCAAGAUUGCCGGGAGAAAUAUCAAUAACCUCAGAUAUGCAGAUGACACCACCCUUAUGGCAGAAAGUGAAGAGGAACUAAAAAGCCUCUUGAUGAGCGUGAAAGAGGAGAGUGAAAAAAUUGGCUUAAAGCUCAUCAUUCAGAAAACGAAGAUCAUGGCAUCCGGUCCCAUCACUUCAUGGGAAAUGGAUGGGGAAACAGUGGAAACAGUGUCAGACUUUAUUUUGGGGAGCUCCAAAAUCACUGCAGAUGGUGAUUGCAGCCAUGAAAUUAAAAGACGCUUACUCCUUGGAAGGAAAGUUAUGAGCAACCUAGAGAGCAUAUUCAAAAGCAGAGACAUUACUUUGCCAACAAAGGUCCGUCUAGUCAAGGCUAUGGUUUUUCCAGUGGUCAUGUAUGGAUGUGAGAGUUGGACUGUGAAGAAAGCUGAGUGUCAAAGAAUUGAUGCUUUUGAGCUGUGGUGUUGGAGAAGACUCUUGAGAGUCCCUUGGACUGCAAGGAGAUCCAACCAGUCCAUUCUAAAGGAGAUUAGUCCUGGGUGUUCUUUGGAAAGAAUGAUGCUAAAGCUGAAACUCCAGUACUUUGGCCACCUCAUUUGA